UUGUUGGUUAAGGGCUCGUAAGUAAGCAUUUCACUGUAAGGUCUACUACACCUGUUGUAUUCAGCAUUUCACUGUAAGGUCUACUACACCUGUUGUAUUCAGCAUUUCACUGUAAGGUCUACUACACCUGUUGUAUUCAGCAUUUCACUGUAAGGUCUACUUCACCUGUUGUAUUCAGCAUUUCACUGUAAGGUCUACUACACCUGUUGUAUUCAGCAUUUCACUGUAAGGUCUACGACACCUGUUGUAUUCAGCAUUUCACUGUAAGGUCUACUACACCUGUUGUAUUCAGCAUUUCACUGUAAGGUCUACUACACCUGUUGUAUUCAGCAUUUCACUGUAAGGUCUACUACACCUGUUGUAUUCAGCAUUUCACUGUAAGGUCUACUACACCUGUUGUAUUCAGCAUUUCACUGUAAGGUCAACUACACCUGUUGUAUUCAGCAUUUCACUGUAAGGUCUACUACACCUGUUGUAUUCAGCAUUUCACUGUAAGGUCUACUACACCUGUUGUAUUCAGCAUUUCACUGUAAGGUCUACUACACCUGUUGUAUUCAGCAUUUCACUGUGAGGUCUACUACACCUGUUGUAUUCAGCAUUUCACUG